UCACCAUCGAGACCGGCAGAGGGACAGGCCCUUUGAAGCCGGGGCAGCCCGCAGGCGCGCAAGCGACUGCGUAGGUGCCAAAUCCUGCGGGGACCGUGGCGUCCACCGAAAGAUGGUUC
rfam:Stenotrophomonas maltophilia SKK35, WGS project CALN01000000 data, contig: 1116